ACCGCUGUAGCUCAGCGGAUAGAGCACCAUUUUGACUAAGUGGCUGGUCGUAGGUUCGAAUCCUACCAGCGGUG
rnacentral:tRNA from 1 species